CCUACGGGUGGCAGCAGUGAGGAAUAUUGGUCAAUGGGCGGAAGCCUGAACCAGCCAAGUCGCGUGAGGGAAGACGGUCCUACGGAUCGUAAACCUCUUUUGGCGGGGAGCAAUGGCGGGGACGUGUGCCCGGAGGGAGAGUACCCGCAGAAAAAGCACGGGUAACCACGGUGCCAGCAGCGGCGGUAUUACGGGGGAUGCGAGCGUAAUCCGGAUUUUUGGGGUUUAAGGGUGGUGAGGCCGGAUUUUUAAGUCAGCGGUAAAAAGGUGGGGCUAAACCCGGGCCGGCCGUUGAAACUGGGGGUCUUGAGUGGGCGAGAAGUAGGCGGAAUGCGUGGUGUAGCGGUGAAAUGCAUAGAUAUCACGCAGAACUCCGAUUGCGAAGGCAGCAUGCCGGCGCCCAACUGACGCUGAGGCACGAAAGCGUGGGGAUCGAACAGGAUUAGAUACCCGAGUAGUC
rnacentral:rRNA from 1 species